rnacentral:rRNA from 1 species
GACGAACGCUUUCUUCUUUCUUCCCCCCUUCCCUUCGAACUUCAAGGCCCUGCUUUUUUUUUGUGCUCGAUUGGCGAACGGGUGAGUAACACGUGAGUAACCUUCCCUUGACUUUGGGAUAACUUCAGGAAACUGGGGCUAAUACCGGAUAGGAGCUCCUGCUGCAUGGUGGGGGUUGGAAAGUUUCGGCGGUUGGGGAUGGACUCGCGGCUUAUCAGCUUGUUGGUGGGGUAGUGGCUUACCAAGGCUUUGACUGGUCGCCGGCCUGAGAGGGUGACCGGCCACAUUGGGACUGAGAUACGGCCCAGACUCCUACGGGAGGCAGCAGUGGGGAAUAUUGCACAAUGGGCGGAAGCCUGAUGCAGCAACGCCGCGUGCGGGAUGAAGGCAUUCGGGUUGUAAACCGCUUUCGCCUGUGACGAAGCGUGAGUGACGGUAAUGGGUAAAGAAGCAAAGGAGAACUACGGG